GACGAACGCUGGCGGCGUGCUUAACACAUGCAAGUCGAACGGAAAGGCCCUGCUUUUGUGGGGUGCUCGAGUGGCGAACGGGUGAGUAACACGUGAGUAACCUGCCCUUGACUUUGGGAUAACUUCAGGAAACUGGGGCUAAUACCGGAUAGGAGCUCCUGCUGCAUGGUGGGGGUUGGAAAGUUUCGGCGGUUGGGGAUGGACUCGCGGCGUAUCAGCUUGUUGGUGGGGUAGUGGCUUACCAAGGCUUGGACGGGUAGCCGGCCUGAGAGGGUGACGGGCCACAUUGGGACUGAGAUACGGCACAGACUCCUACGGGAGGCAGCAGUGGGGAAGAUUGCACGAUGGGCGGAAGCCUGAUGAAGCAACGCCGCGUGCGGGAUGACGGCCUUCGGGUUGUAAACCGAUUUCGCCUGUGACGAAGCGUGAGUGACGGUAAUGGGUAAAGAAGCACCGGCUAAAUACGUG
rnacentral:rRNA from 1 species